rnacentral:lncRNA from 1 species
UCAAUUAUUCUCAUAAUGAUUUGUUAUGGAACUUGUCUCCUUCUGGCAUAGGAUUAUGAAUUGUAUUUUGUUGUCUUGUCUCUUUAGUAUCCUUUAAUUGGGAAUGAAUUCUCAGCUAAUCUUUGUCUCUUACACUAUUGAGGAACAGAGAUCAUUUAUUUAAUGGACCAUGCAUCGCUUUGAAUUUUUUCUGAGGUUUCUGAGGUUAGGCAUCCAUAGACAGAAAACUACAAAACUGAUCUCUCCUCAAAGUGUCAUAUACAGAGGAACAAAACGUUUUCGUGCCCUUCAUUCAUGACAUUAUCACUGUUAGCAGAAUUUUUAGCAUAUUAUUUAUACACAAUCAUAUUCACAACUUUCAAAUGUGAAAUCUGAUCAGUUUUGGCAAAUGUAUACAACUGUUUAAACCAUCACCAGAAUCAAGAAAUAGAAUGCCUCCAGCACCCUCCAAAAUGGUCUCCUACCCCUUCUUCAGCAGACAAUUACCUCCCCCAUCCCUUGCCCCUGACAAACUUAAAACCAUUCAUUUGCUUUCUCUCACUAUAGUUUGUCUUUUCUAGAAUGUCACAGAAAUGAAAUCAUGUAGUACAUGAGCAUUUGUUCCUGGCUUCUAUCACUUAGCAUAAUGUUCUUGAGAUCUAUUCAUAUUUCUUCACCUAGUAGUGGUUUUGUUGUCAUUGUUUUGCUGAGCAGUAUCCUGUCUUAUUGAUAUGCCACUAUUUAUUUAUUCAUUAGCCAGUUAAACAUCAAAUUUCUUACAUAUUUUGGUUAUUUUAAAUAAAGCUGCUAUGAACAUUCAAGUGCGAAUCUUUGUGUGGCAAUGUUUGCUCACUUCUGUAAGGCAAAUACCUAACAGUGGAAUUUCUGGUAAAUGAAUAUUUGCCUUUAUCAGAAAACGCCAAAUGGCUUCCCGAACCAAAUAUAGCAGUUUGCAUUUCUACUAACUAGGUAUAUGUGUAUGAGAGUGCUAGUUGUUCUAAUCUUCAGCAGCAAUUGAUAUUGAUAAUGUCAACCUUCUUAAAUUUUAACGAAGCAAAUGAGUGCACAAUGAUAUCUCAUUGUGGUUUUCACUUUCAUUUCCCUUAUGAUUAAAAAUGUUGAACAUCUUUUUAUGUGAUUAUUUAAUAUCCAUUCAUCUAUCUUCUCUGAUUAUAUGAUUGUUCAAAUAUAUUACGUGUUAUUUUAAAUAGAGCUGUUUGUCUUUUUAAAAUUAAGCUGAAAAAAUUUUUUAUUCAAUCUGGAUAUACCUCCUGUAUCAGACACAUUUUGCAAAUACUUUCAUACUGACAUAUGCUAAAAUAUGUCAAAUACUAAGGUCUGGGGUCUGUCUUAAUUUUUUAAUGGUAUGUUUUGAAGAGCAAAGUCGUUCACUUUGAUGAAGUCUGAUUAUCCAAAUGUUUUCAUUAAAGGUAUUUGUAUCUGUGUGCAUGCCCAUUUGCAAUGGUUGAUUUUGCGUGUCAACUGGGCUGGGCAGAAUCCCCAGAUAUUUGGUCAAGCAUUAUCUGGGGUGGAUCUGUGAAGGUGUUUGGGAUCAUAUUCAAGGUUGACCUUUCUGAUGUAGGUAGGCCUCAUCCAGUCAGCUGAGACCUGAAUUAAACAAAAUGCCUGAAUAAGAGGGAAUUUCCUCCUGCGUGACUGCCUUGAGGUGGAACAUCAGUGUUUUUGCUGCCAUCAGACUCAUACUGAAACGCUGGUCUUUCUGGAUCCCAAGCCUCUAGGCCUUUGGACUGGAACUGCACCAUCAGCAUUUCUGUGUCUCCAGCUUGUCAACUGCAGAUCUGGGGACUUGUCAGCCUUCAUGAUGACCACAACACUGACUUUGACUGAAAGACAAAGGAAGUCAUAGCACCUCAAAGCUUGGUGAAUAAUGAAACAAAUGAUGAUACAUCCACACCACAGAAUCCUACUCAGCAAGAAAAAUAAACUAUUACUGCCUGCACAAAUUGGAUAAACCUCAAGGGAGUUACUCUGAGUGGAAAAAGCCAAUAUCAAAAGGUUAUAUUGCUAUAUCAUCCCACCUCUAAUACAGUUUUGAAAUGGAAAAAUUAAUGAGAUGGAGAAACAAAUUUGUGGUUUCCAGGUUUCGGGAAUAAAGGAGCAAGGAAGUUGGCAGCAUCUACAAAAUGAUAGCACAAAGGAGCCCUGUGAUGGAAGUGACCUGUACUUUGAGUGCAGUGGUGAGUCUACACAUGCGAUGAUAUUACACAGAAUGAAGUACACACACCGCACACACGAAUGUAUGUAAAACUGGCAAAAUCUGAAUAAGGUCAGUGGAUUUUAUCUGUGUCAGUUUUUAAAUUGUGAUAUUUUACUACAGUUGUAUAAAAUAUGACCAUUGGGAGAAACUAGAUGAAGCUUUCAUGGGAGCUUACGUGGCUUUGCAUUUUUUCUUAUAACUGCAUGGGAAUCUAUAAUUACGUCAAAAUAAGAAGCUUAUAAAGCAAAUGAACAUUAAAUAUUUUAAAAACAGGAAUGCUGGCUUGUAUCAUAGUGUAAGUACUUUAUCAGAGAUACUCCUAAAUAUUUUACUUCAUGUAUUUAAUUAGAAUAGAUCUUUGCAUUAAGAAAGCAAGAUUCACUUUAAUGCUGCUUCUGAAAGUUGCUUCGUAGAGAGAGAGAAUGGAAUGAAACACAUGGUACAGUCCUGUUUCAUAAUAGAUUUCAAGGUACAUUCUUUAAAGGUUAUGUUAAAAGUUGAUUGUCUUAAAUCUUUAUUUUAUAAAGAGACUUUAAAAUUUAAGUGAUCAUGACUUUUGCAUAUUUUAUGUAUAUUACGGGAACAUUUAACUAAAAACUUAUGAAAGAAUAAGAGAUGUUCUAAAUCACCAAGGCAGUUUUACGUGCUUUAGAUUUUGCAUUAAUAGAGACACUUUAACCAAAGAGCAUUUCAUGUUUGUCUUUCCCUCACCUCCAGUUCUUCAAUUUAAUAUGUGGUUACCCUCUUUUCAAGAGUUACAGUACCAUUUUAAAUUCCCAUUAGCGUUGUAAAAUGAUCCAGUUUUUCCAUAUCCCGGUCAGCAUUUAGGGUUAUCACUGUCGUUUUAUUUUAGUCAUUUUGAUAGGUGUAUUAGUGACAUCUCAUUGUGGUUUUAAUUUUCAUUCCUUUAAUA